CCCCUAGAUGUUCUGGGCCGCACGCGCGCUACACUGAACAGUUCAACAAGUCUUAACCUUGGCCGAUAGGUCCGGGUAAUCUUUGAACGCUGUUCGUGAUUGGGAUAGACCUUUGCAAUUAUGGGUCUUCAACGAGGAAUUCCUAGUAAACGCAAGUCAUCAGCUUGCAUUGAUUACGUCCCUGCCCUUUGUACACACCGCCCGUCGCACCUACCGAUUGAAUGGUCCGGUGAAAUCUCGGGACGGCGGCUUGGUCGCUUGCGUCCGACUGCUGAAACUUGAUUAAACCAUAUCAUUUAGAGGAAGGUGAAGUCGUAACA
rnacentral:rRNA from 1 species